rnacentral:rRNA from 1 species
CACAUGCAAGUCGAGGGGAACGACAUCGAAAGCUUGCUUUUGAUGGGCGUCGACCGGCGCACGGGUGAGUAACGCGUAUCCAACCUGCCCAUCACUUGGGGAUAACCUUGCGAAAGUAAGACUAAUACCCAAUGACGUCUCUAGAAGGCAUCUGAAAGAGAUUAAAGAUUUAUCGGUGAUGGAUGGGGAUGCGUCUGAUUAGCUUGUUGGCGGGGUAACGGCCCACCAAGGCGACGAUCAGUAGGGGUUCUGAGAGGAAGGUCCCCCACAUUGGAACUGAGACACGGUCCAAACUCCUACGGGAGGCAGCAGUGAGGAAUAUUGGUCAAUGGACGAGAGUCUGAACCAGCCAAGUAGCGUGCAGGAUGACGGCCCUAUGGGUUGUAAACUGCUUUUAUAAGGGAAUAAAGUGAGUCUCGUGAGACUUUUUGCAUGUACCUUAUGAAUAAGGACCGGCUAAUUCCGUGCCAGCAGCCGCGGUAAUACGGAAGGUCCGGGCGUUAUCCGGAUUUAUUGGGUUUAAAGGGAGCGUAGGCCGGAGAUUAAGCGUGUUGUGAAAUGUAGAUGCUCAACGUCUGCACUGCAGCGCGAACUGGUUUCCUUGAGUACGCACAAAGUGGGCGGAAUUCGUGGUGUAGCGGUGAAAUGCUUAGAUAUCACGAAGAACUCCGAUUGCGAAGGCAGCUCACUGGAGCGCAACUGACGCUGAAGCUCGAAAGUGCGGGUAUCGAACAGGAUUAGAUACCCUGGUAGUCCGCACGGUAAACGAUGGAUGCCCGCUGUUGGUCUGAAUAGGUCAGCGGCCAAGCGAAAGCAUUAAGCAUCCCACCUGGGGAGUACGCCGGCAACGGUGAAACUCAAAGGAAUUGACGGGGGCCCGCACAAGCGGAGGAACAUGUGGUUUAAUUCGAUGAUACGCGAGG